rnacentral:snoRNA from 1 species
GUGAGGAGGACUCGCAGCGCGGAGCGGUGACGACGAACCGGGUGCCGA